GAUGAACGCUGGCGGCGUGCCUAACACAUGCAAGUCGAACGUGAAGCAUGGACAAUUCAUUUCGGUGGAGCGACCAUGUGGAAAGUGGCGAACGGGUGAGUAACACGUAGGUGACCUGCCUCGCAGUGGGGGAUAACCAGUGGAAACGCUGGCUAAUACCGCAUAGUUCCACGGUUACGGGAGUGACGGUGGAUAAAACUUUGGUGCUGCGAGAGGGGCCUGCGACCGAUUAGCUAGUUGGUGAGGUAAAGGCUCACCAAGGCCGAGAUCGGUAGCUGUUCUGAGAGGAAGAUCAGCCACACGGGAACUGAGACACGGUCCCGACUACUACGGUGGGCAGCAGUGAGGAAUAUUGCACAAUGGGGGGAACCCUGAUGCAGCAACGCCGCGUGAAGGAAGAAGGUCUUUGGAUUGUAAACUUCUUUUAACGGGGAAGAGAAUGGACGGUACCCGUUGAAUAAGUCACGGCUAACUACG
rnacentral:rRNA from 1 species